GGAUGAGAACCGAGUCGUGCCCAAAACUACGUGGGGGGUGGGGGGAGGAUUUGAGUCUCCUUAAUUAUAAGGUCCAAAAGUUUUUAAGAUUAUAUAAUCCUUUUGAAUGAUGUGUUAGUGAUUUGGAUAUGAGUUAUUGAAUUACUGAUGGAUUGGAAUGAACAAUUUAAGUUUUUUGGUGGAGUUUUAUUUGUUAUCUCUAUGUUGUGUUUUCUUUUGGUUGGCUCACCCCAAC
rnacentral:lncRNA from 1 species